AUGUUCUCCUGGUUCUGCUCACUUCACUUCGCAUCACUUCAUACUCCCAUCCCCAAGCUGAGAGCUUCAUAAAUGCUAAAGGAAUGAAUGAAUGACCAGCGUCACAUGGCCGCCCCUGAAGCAAAUGGACCUUGAGCUACCCCAGGAGUGAUGAGUGUCCAGGAAGAGGGAAGAGAGAGGCCCCUGCUGUGGUCAGAGAGCAGCUGGAGCUUGGGUUCAGGGAACUGAGGCCCAGAGGGGCUGAGGAGCUCCUUGCCUGAGGCUGGAACUGGGAUGCCAAGGUGAGGGCUUCCACUAUAAACCCUGGUGAAGGAAAUGGCAAAACUCCAGGGCUGCUGCCCACGACAAAGCUGAGCACCAGCUGACGCCCCUCUCUUAUCCCAUUUCACUCCAGAAAGUGGGAGUCAUUUGCAGAACUGAAAAUAGGUUUGGUCCUUCUGCUGCCUGGAAGCUCAUUCCUCCCCUGCCUGAGGGUCCCUGCCCACUAAUCCCUGGACCCCCUCUCUCUGUCCCUGCCCAUGGAGCCACACAGCCAGCUAUAACUCUUCUUUGGGGUGCCCCUGAGGGGCGGAGGGCAUCUUCUAAUGCUUCUGCUCUGGAAUGCCCUCCCCCAGCACCAUCUGAUCAGUGAGAGUGCCUCCAUCUCCUCCAUAAGUGAUGGACCUCAAAGUUGACUGUCUGGGUGACCCUGAUCAAGCCCCUUCCCUUUGGCCUGGCCUCAGUUUCCUCAUCUAUAAAAUGGUAGCCCCUAAGAUCCUUCCAUGCUCCAGAUCCUGACAUGUCAGCCCUGAAUGUUCUUGUACUUGGGGGAUUUCCAAGAAAGGAAGACUGUUGUUUUUUAUGUCUCAGCCAGACAUGAAACAGGAAAAAACAGCUGGAUGCAUCAUUACUGCAAGAGAUGCCUCUCCAGCAGCAGAGAACCAGCGCUCUUCCAGGGAGGAAGGGCUGGGACCCAGCUGAUCUGUCCUCCCUCGUCCACAAGGGGAUGAUCAGGGGCAGCUGUCCUGAUGGAGCAGGGAGAAGGAAGCCAGGCCAGGGGAGGUCUGGGGGUGCUGAGGGAACACAGGAGAGGUGAUGGUGGCUACCUUUUCCUUCUGUUGGGCUAGAGUCGGGAAGAUCUUUCCAUGAUCUCAUCUAAGGUUGAGAGACCACUGGACAGGGUAAAGAAAACCUUCCUCACAAUUGGAGCCAUCCCAGAGUGAACUGGGCCUGCCUCCUUGGAAGUGUCCCUAGAGGCUUGCCGGGAUUUCUGAGAAGGGAGUCUGCUUUGGGUACUGGUUGGAUGGACAGACCCAAGGAAGGGGUCCCUGUGUGGAUCCCCUGUGACUCAGUUGAGAUGGAAGGAACCUCAGAAAAACCCCCUCCACAUAGGAAGGUCAUUUCUGCCACCCCUGACUAAUGGUCCUCCAGGCUUUCAUUCCCCUGGGGCAACAGCUGAGUCCACUUCAUCUCCUUCUGGGCAGCUUUGGCCCUUGUGGUCUCUGACCUGCAUUGGGCUUCCAGUCUCAGCCCUGACACAAAUUUGCUGUUUGGUCUAUCAGUCAAUCAGUCAGUAAACAUUGAUGAAACACCUACUAUGUGCCAGGCCCUGGGCUAAGUACUGGGGAUACAAAGAAAGGCAAGAGCCAGUCAGUGCCUGCCCUCAAGGAGCUCUCAGUCUAAUGAGAGAAACAACACAGAAAGAGGCUGGAAAGUAGGGGAUGGCAAACUUUGGCUAAGUCCCUUCCUCUCUCUGGUUCUGGCUUCCCCCUCUCCAGAAUUAAAGGGUUUGGA